rnacentral:rRNA from 1 species
ACGAACGCUGGCGGCGUGCCUAAUACAUGCCAGUAGAACGCACAGUUUAUACCGUAGCUUGCUACACCAUAGACUGUGAGUUGCGAACGGGUGAGUAACGCGUAGGUAACCUGCCUGGUAGCGGGGGAUAACUAUUGGAAACGAUAGCUAAUACCGCAUAAUAUUGAUUAUUGCAUGAUAAUUGAUUGAAAGAUGCUAUUGCAUCACUACCAGAUGGACCUGCGUUGUAUUAGCUAGUAGGUGAGGUAACGGCUCACCUAGGCGACGAUACAUAGCCGACCUGAGAGGGUGAUCGGCCACACUGGGACUGAGACACGGCCCAGACUCCUACGGGAGGCAGCAGUAGGGAAUCUUCGGCAAUGGACGAAAGUCUGACCGAGCAACGCCGCGUGAGUGAAGAAGGGUUUCGGAUCGUAAAGCUCGGUUGUAAGAGAAGAACGGGUGUGAGAGUGGAAAGUUCACACUGUGACGGUAUCUUACCAGAAAGGGACGGCUAACUACGUG